CAUGCAUGUAAUUGAAAGGUGGAAACAAAUGUAGAAAACAAAUGAAGGAUUAAAGGAGCACUAUUAAGAGAGAGACGGGUGUAUGAAAUAAAAAGGAAAAAAUGUUGCAUCAUAUUUUAGCAUGAGGACUAGAGUGGCGUCUGGGCAGCAGAAGAGUGUGGAGGCCACGCAUCUAUUUUCUUCGGUGUUUAUGGGCAUUGGAGCUUGAUCAAAAUAGAGACAUAAAGAAGAUUAUAUAGAAGUAAUAUACUAAGGAGUUGAGCUAGAAAAUUAAGAGACUGAGGGAUUAAAUGGUAUUAUCAUUUGCAUGGGGUCGAAGAUUAUUGUGUGAUAGGAGAAAGGAGAGAGGAUGACCAUGAAGGAAUGGGCUGCUUCUCCACGUGAAUGAGAGGGAAAGGAGAUAUUAAUAGCUGCUGCAUGCUUUCAUGCAUUUGAAGAUGAGAAGAACAAUUGGAGUACAGCAUCUGUUUUUGCAUGAGUGGAGUAAAGGAAUGUGGAGUCCAGCCACACUCUGCAAUUUAUUUGCUGCUCAAAAAUAAAAUGGAGAUUAAGAGGAGGUGAUUAAGAGAAAAAUAAAUCAAGGAAAUCUGAGAAUAAGAAUUAUGUGUGACAGUUAUAUUUUUUUUGCUUGAACAAAAAAAGUAGGGGCUGCAACACAAGGAGAGGGGAUACUGUUUUCACAUGAAAGGGAGUGGAAAUUUAAGAUUCAUUUAUAUGAGUGGUUGAGAGAUGAUAAAAUAUUGGCCUGAAUAAUCCAUGGACACCAAAAUGAUUAAGAGCUCGAGAAAGAAAAGAAAGGAAAGACAAAAGAGAAUAGGACAUGCUAGAUUUUUGUUGGAUGUUAGCAAAAGACUUGAUUGGGGUUUUGAAUACCAAUUUGGUAUUUUAGGGAUAUGAAGAUGGGAUGAAACCCUAGGCAUAUUUUGGAAACAAACAAAUUCAUUUUUCAAGUAUAAACAUUGUGCAACGGCAUGAGUGCAACAAACCACUAAGUUAAAUUGCAAAAAAAAAAAAAAUUAGAAGCCCAUAUUUUUCCACUAUCUAACAUGUUGGCAACAUAAUAAAGUUGGAACAUUUUAUAAAAAAAAUAAAUUAUUUGUCUUUGUUUUCAGUGUUUUCUAAGUCAUAUCCCAAAGUUAGAAUUUUGGGGUGUGACAACUCUACCCCCCUUAACAGGAAUCUCGCCCCGAGAUUCACUGAAGCUACACUCAUUACAAAGAGCCAAAUCAUACAAGUUCAUCAUGACAAAACAAUCAACCUAGCUAAAGCACACUAACAUGAUAGGAUCCUUAUAAAAGCACACUAUCACUCACCUUAGCAUCGUUGCUAACGUAAAAGUGCUCAGUGAUAACAACAUCCUAAAGGCAUUAGGAUAGACGGGCUUGAACCACUAAACUUUGGUGAUGAUGUUUAUCGUUGACGUCGAAUCUUCAACUUCACCAGCAUCUUUAUGGAUAUUGGAGAAACGAGGGGCUUCGGUAAAAAGUUUUAUAUUUCCUUCAUAAAAUAUCAUGGAGAAGGAAGACAAGAUAAGUUUUUAUUAAAAUAUAUUUGUAAAAGCGACCAUUUCUAUCUAGGCAGAGCGUCCUACAGUCAACAUUGCUUUGAUACCAAUCUGUCGCACCCGG
rnacentral:lncRNA from 1 species